rnacentral:lncRNA from 1 species
CCACCAGCAUCAGCCCCAAUAUGACCAUUAAAGUCCCCUCCAAUAACUAACUUCUCAGAUUGGGGAAUACUACUCACCAAAUCCUCCAAGCCCUCCCAAAAGCGCCUCUUAACCUCCUCGUCUAAGCCUACACAGGAAGAUGAUACUGCAUUGCUAAUUGUAACUAACCAGGCUACUGCCUAGGAACAACUCUUUUUUUGUAAGCUUUACAAUUUCCUAAUGUUGGGGAUGCCCAACUUAAGUGUUUCUUGGAGAGGUUAGGCAAUAUGUCCCUCUUCUCUAUGUAUUCACCUACUGGGUUUUGAUAUAUAAAGGUUAGGGGUCAUGCCUUAACCCGUACACCACAAUGGUGGCUUUUGCUGAAAAAAAUAAAAAAUAAAAAUUGUAUUCAAUAUGUCCCUCUUCUCUAUGUAUUCACCUACUGGGUUUUGAUAUAUAAAGGUUAGGGGUCAUGCCUUAACCCGUACACCACAAUGGUGGCUUUUGCUGAAAAAAAUAAAAAAUAAAAAUUGUAUUCAAUAUGUCCCUCUUCUCUAUGUAUUCACCUACUGGGUUUUGAUAUAUAAAGGUUAGGGGUCAUGCCUUAACCCGUACACCACAAUGGUGGCUUUUGCUGAAAAAAAUAAAAAAUAAAAAUUCUAUUCAUGACAUACCUCUAUAC